rnacentral:lncRNA from 1 species
AAAUUCUGCCAGUAGUCUGUCCUUGAUUUCCUGUGAAACUCCAGCUAUGAACAGGGAGCUUUUCUCCAAAUUGGCUUGCAAUCCAGACAUCUGGGAGAAAUUAUUUAAGUCUUUCAGUAAGAGCCUCAGGGAAGUUUCAUCUCCUCUACAGCACAUCAGAGGUCAUCUGCAAAAGAGAUAUGAGUAAGUUGUAACUUGGAACAUUUGGGAUGGAAGUUGAAGUCUGGGUUCCUGUUCAACUGCUUCAGAUCCUUGAUUUCCUGUGAAACCCCAGCCAGGGAGCUUUUCUCCAGGUUGGCUUGCAAUCCAGACAUCUGGGAGAAGUUAUCAAACUCUUUCAGUAAGAGCCUCAAGGAAGUUUCAUCUCCUCUACAGCACAUCAGGAGGUCAUCUGCAAAACAGAUAUGAGUAAGUUGUAAUUUGGAUCACUUGGGAUGGAAGUUGAAGUCUGGGUUCUUGUUCAACUGCUUCAGUGUUCAGUUGAGGUAUUCCAUGACUAAGACAAACAGGUAGGGAGACAUUGGGUCUCCCUGUCUUAGCCCUUCCUUGCUGCAAAUUUGCUGGUAAGGCCUCCAUUAACUAGUAAGGAGAAACUUUCUGUAGAAACACACUCCAUGAUUAAGGUGACCAUUCUGU